CAGGCCCGUAUAACGUUAAUGAUUACUAGAUGACRUUUCCAAAGAGUCGUGUUGCUUGAUAGUGCAGCACUAAGUGGGUGGUAAACUCCAUCUAAAACUAAAUAUAACCAUGAGACCGAUAGUAAACAAGUACCGUGAGGGAAAGUUGAAAAGAACUCUGAAUAGAGAGUUAAAUAGUACGUGAAACUGCUUAGAGGUUAAGCCCGAUGAACCUGAAUAUCCAUAUGAAAAAUUCAUCAUUAUGAAUUUAAUAUUAAUAAUAUUAAAUGAAUGGUGUGCAUUUUUUUCAUAAAGGACAUUGUAAUCUAUUAACAUAAACAAAAUUUAUCAUAAGAUCAAUGAUGCGUAAGUUUAUUCAAAUUAUUUUGCUUGCAAUUUAACAUAGAAUAAAUGCUCUUGAUUUGAUAAAGUGUUGAUAGAUUUAUUAUAUAUAGUGCUUAAAUAUUUUAUAUAUUUUAUAAUAGCAUAUUAAUCAAUGAUUUUUAUGUUUAUUAUAUGCACUUAUAUGAUUAACAAUGCGAAAGAUUCAGGAUACCUUCGGGACCCGUCUUGAAACACGGACCAAGGAGUCUAACAUAUUUGCAAGUUAUUGGGUAUAAAAACCUAAUAGCGUAAUUAACAUAACUUUAAUGGGAUUAGUUUUUAGAUUAUUUUAUAGUCUAUUAAUUCAAUCCCGGGGCGUUCUAUACAGUUAUGUAUAAUAAUAUUUAUAUUAUUUAU
rnacentral:rRNA from 1 species